rnacentral:rRNA from 1 species
UACAGAGGGGGCAAGCGUUGUUCGGAAUUACUGGGCGUAAAGCGCGUGUAGGCGGUACUCUAAGUCCGGGGUGAAAUCCGGGGGCUUAACCCCCGAACGGCGCCGGAAACUGGAGCGCUUGAGUGUCGGAGAGGGGAGUGGAAUUCUCGGUGUAGCGGUGAAAUGCGUAGAGAUGUGGAGGAACACCGAUGGCGAAGGCAGCCCCCUGGGCUAGAUUGACGCUCA